rnacentral:tRNA from 1 species
GGCAAAGUAGUAAAGCGGUCAAAUACGACAGCCUUAGGAGCUGUUCCCUCUGGGUUCGCAGGUUCGAAUCCUGCCUUUGUCA